rnacentral:rRNA from 1 species
UACGUAGGGGGCAAGCGUUAUCCGGAUUUACUGGGUGUAAAGGGAGCGUAGACGGACUGGCAAGUCUGAUGUGAAAACCCGGGGCUCAACCCCGGGACUGCAUUGGAAACUGUCAGUCUAGAGUGUCGGAGGGGUAAGUGGAAUUCCUAGUGUAGCGGUGAAAUGCGUAGAUAUUAGGAGGAACACCAGUGGCGAAGGCGGCUUACUGGACGAUAACUGACGUUGAGGCUCGAAAGCGUGGGGAGCAAACA